rnacentral:siRNA from 1 species
AGAGCCUAAGCAACUGUGGUUU